AAGAUAUAGAAAGAGAAAGAUGUUUGACAAACACCUAAUACCAAAGAGACCCCAUCACAAUAAAACAUUAAGUUACAGGUUCAUCAUUCUUCCUCGAUAUUGCGUUAUACUUCAUCAAAACUGAAGAACAGAAAUCUAAUAAACUACUAUAUUUAAUCAAGCUGGUAUCCAUGUGUCAUGGUUAAAAGUAUUGUGAAACUUAUUUAACAAUAAAUUUGUAUGGUGAAAUAAAAAGAAAAAGAGAAAAAAGAUAGAUGUAGAAGGAGAUGGUGGCUUGGGCCAUACUUAAAAAAAUAACAUAUAAAACACGUUGAUGUGGCUGCCUUCAUUCUCCACUAUCCAAGGUGGCUGUGAUUGGUUGUUUCUUGAUUUGGGUCCAUAUAUGUUAUACAUAUAUCUAUAGAACUAUAUAUAUAAAGAUAGUAUCAUUAAUAUUCAUAAUUUGCAAGAGCCUCCUCAGGCACUGUAUGAGAAAUGGGGUGGCUCAAUUCUUUCUUCUCUCCCUUGAAGAAACUAUGGUUUCGCGUCAAUUCUACUCAAAAGAAGAGAAGAGGAAUAUACAUAUUAUACGAGGACGUGAAGUCAUGUCCAUAUGAAGAUGUGCAUGUUUUGUGGUCUAUACUCGUGGAGUCUCACCCACACACUUUGCAACCCAAACAAUAAAACCUCCAUUGUGCAUAGCUCUCGUUUUGGUUCAGAGUUCAUAUAUGGAAUGUUCAUGCUCAAGGACGAAACAAAGGAGAAAAUUGUUGGCGAAUCAUUCAUAUAUAUGUGUUACUCUCACUUGUACAUAACAAUAUAAAUACACAGAGAUUCUAAUUCCUUAUGGUUUUAUACAUUUUCUCUCUCGCGACUAUAUUGGUAUAUGGAAUGUUCAGAGAGUUCAUAUUCUCUCUCGUGAC